UACGAAGGGGGCUAGCGUUGCUCGGAAUCACUGGGCGUAAAGCGCACGUAGGCGGACUCUUAAGUCGGUGGUGAAAUCCUGGAGCUCAACUCCAGAACUGCCUUCGAUACUGAGAGUCUCGAGUCCGGGAGAGGUGAGUGGAACAGCGAGUGUAGAGGUGAAAUUCGUAGAUAUUCGCAAGAACACCAGUGGCGAAGGCGGCUCACUGGCCCGGUACUGACGCUGAGGUGCGAAAGCGUGGGGAGCAAACAGG
rnacentral:rRNA from 1 species